UUUCCCCAACCCCUGAGGGGUUAAAAAUGAACAGCUAUUCUAUACUUGUUUUUAAAAGAAAGGUUAAAAAAUUGUACUGAAAUGCAAAAGCAUUCGUUAAAUAAUGAAAAAUGUAAGAGAAGAAAAAGGUAAAAAAAAAAUGUAUACUUGUAUGCAUUAUGUAGCAACAUAUAGCGGUCACCCAUCCAAGUACUAACCACGCUCGAUGUUGCUUAACUUGUUUGAUAAAGAGAUACAUUUAGUAUACUAUUGUGUGAUUGCACAAUGUUAGAUCGAAGACGCCGACGGAUUUGCAUCAAAUUUGUUUAAUUAUCUAAAGUAAUGGAGGAAGAUAAUGAAUCAGUUAUCGUGCAAGUGUUGGAUCGCAGGGUAAAUGUUGGAACAACAUUUCCCCUAUCACCAACGAUGUCCUGUAAACCAUAGCGCGACCAAAACAAACUUUGUGACACAAUAGGCGAUGAAAUGGUAAGGACAGCAUGAAUGCUCACAUCAGCUGCGUACACAUUAAAAGCAUCUAUUUCUAUUGGACUUGAAUGAUCUCUACCACCAAAUUUGAAUGCAAUGAUACAUAUAUUAAAAUUUUCAAUUCUGUGCAUCUUUUGAAGACUUUUGUCGAGGGUGUUCAAAAUAAAUUCUCGGUCAUCUGGUAAAACAUGCAAUUUUCUUAUAUCGGAAAUUACGUUUUUCUUCAUUGUACUUCUGGACAAACUUUUUUCAUCCAAAUUCAUUCUAGUAUUUGAAAGUUGCUUUCUGAAAUCUUCAUAAUAAGCAUACUGCAACUUCUGAAAUUCACGUCUGUUGUACUUAGGAUAAUGCAAAUUUCGUUCUCUUGGUAAGAGAGUAAAGUGAAAAUCAAAGC